CCUACGGGAGGCAGCAGUGGGGAAUAUUGGACAAUGGGCGCAAGCCUGAUCCAGCAAUGCCGCGUGAGUGAUGAAGGCCUUAGGGUCGUAAAGCUCUUUUACCAGGGAUGAUAAUGACAGUACCUGGAGAAUAAGCUCCGGCUAACUCCGUGCCAGCAGCCGCGGUAAUACGGAGGGAGCUAGCGUUGUUCGGAAUUACUGGGCGUAAAGCGUACGUAGGCGGUUAUUCAAGUCAGAGGUGAAAGCCCGGGGCUCAACCCCGGAACGGCCUUUGAAACUAGGUAGCUAGAAUCUUGGAGAGGUCAGUGGAAUUCCGAGUGUAGAGGUGAAAUUCGUAGAUAUUCGGAAGAACACCAGUGGCGAAGGCGACUGACUGGACAAGUAUUGACGCUGAGGUACGAAAGCGUGGGGAGCAAACAGGAUUAGAUACCCUGGUAGUCCACGCCGUAAACGAUGAUAACUAGCUGUCCGGGCACUUGGUGCCUGGGUGGCGCAGCUACGACAUUAAGUUAUACCGUCCGUCGGGUAGGUACGGUCGCGAGAAUAAACUUAAACGUAAGUAGUAGACGCGNGAGAGCGACGACGACGACGACGGAGGAGGAG
rnacentral:rRNA from 1 species